AAAUUACAAAAUCAGUCCCAAAUAAUAAACACACGCUUGCUUUGUCUCUCCUCUCCUGCGUCGACGUCUCUCUCUCACUGCUCCUCUCCCUUUUCUCCCUUAAUCUUAUUCCGCCUCAUCAAGUGAAAUCGCAGCUAGCUCUUUGAUCAUCGCCAGUAAGGUCUAUUGAUGAAAAGGUUCAUUAGUUUGAUUAAGCAUGCUAAAGAUGGUGUUCUUGAGAAGGAUCCAUUGAUGAAAACUUAAAAGAUUGAACAUGGGAAUUGAUGCUUCAGGUACUGGGAGUUGGAUGGUGAUAGCUCAAUACUACAG